GUUAGUGAUGCUGGGCACAAGAGCCUUUAGCUUGAGUGGUUGGUUCAUCCUGCAGUAAGUACUUUCCGUUUCUGCUUGGCAAUCUUCUGUAGGUUCUCUGAGCUGACUUGGGAAUAAAAGUCUCCAUUGUCAUAUUUUUUCUAUUUUGUAUUCUUCUUAGUCUAAAUUUAAGGCCAUUGAGGAGUUUCCCCGUGCCCUCCCGCUGCCUAGCUGCUUUUCAUAGGAUAGUGAGGCUACGGUGCUCUGCCUACUCCUUCUGCAGCAUGUGUCAGGGGAAGAGAGGAGAGGACUCCUUUGGUUGCCUGUCUGUGUUACUUUACUGUUUACAUUUUCUCACUGAGACCGGGCUCUUUAGACCCACUCUUCUUACAUCAUCCAGACCAGUCACUUUCUUUCAUCAGAUGCAGGAGAAAGAACAUUUAAAAAGAAAUGGUACUUUAAGAAAUUAGUUUGGCAGAAAAAUCUUCCCCCUUUACUCCCAAGGGGUGGGGGGAAUGGAGAAAGAAUUGACAAGGUGUGACUUCUUCAUUUAAAUGAUUUAAUUUGGAAUUCAUAUCAAUCAACAGAGCAGAGGAUUCAAAACACAUUCCCUGGCAUCCCUGGAGCCAGGAUGAAACCCAGCCUCUGAAGGAGCAUUCUGUCAUGCAUUGCAUACAGGCGUACAAUGGAUCAGACCUGGGAGGAGGCCCUGCAUGCUGCCUCCUGAAAUGGUUUCUUUGCUGCAGGCCUGUUUGGGAGAUGUUUAUCAGAAAGGGGUGGACAGGUCUGCCAUGGACAGGCCCCAUUCUGUCUCCAGUGGCCUUUUAUUGCUAGUGAUAGGUGCCAUCAGUGUCUUGCCUGAGAAAUGGCCGUGCUGCAGGCACCUCUGUCAGAGCAUCUUAUUGAUCUGUGCUCCGCCUCUCUUCCAGGGUAGUAAAAAGGCAGAGACUGCUGGCAGGAGCUGCUAUGGCACCGUGAGCUGCAGCUGAUCUCCGGGGUGAGUGCAAAGGUUACCAUCACUACAGCUGUUCCACCCAGAGUCACAGAGCCUCACUCUAGGACACAAGCUAGCCUGGACUGCACGAGGACCCUCCAGCAAGAUGAAUGGUGCUUCUGAAAAUUUUUUCCCCAUUGAGGUUGUAUGGCUGAAAUUCACUUUUCUCACCAUUGACCUAUUGGACCUUGAUAACAUAGAAUUAAAAGCGAUUAAUCUGGAAAUCUCCUUCAUAAAUAAUCCUUCUUGACCCCCCAGC
rnacentral:lncRNA from 1 species